UAGUUCGGAUUGUAGGCUGCAACUCGCCUACAUGAAGCUGGAAUUGCUAGUAAUCACAGGUCAGCAUACUGUGGUGAAUACGUUCCCGGGCCUUGUACACACCGCCCGUCACACCAUGAGAGUUGAGAAUACCCGAAGUCCAUGUCAAAGUGGCCGAAGGUAGGCUUGAUGAUUGGGGUGAAGUCGUAACAAGGUAUC
rnacentral:rRNA from 1 species